UAUACUCAGGGAUCUUUAAAGCACCCUUUUACCCCCCACAGAGCUCUCUUCCCCAUGUAAAACUUUAGGAUAGGGAGGGUCUGUUGUGUAAACUGAACUGUGGACUCCAAAGCUGAAAAACAGCAAUGAACCCCAUUUUGCCCUUCAGCCUGCUCUGUUGCAGCUCAUUGCAGAAGCUGAAUUCUAAACAGUGAUGUCUUGCAAUCUGUUGUCUGCAGGUUUAUUUUAUUGUGGCAGCUUGAAUCCAGGGCCUCCAGAAUGUGAAGGACAUGCUCAGACAUUCAUGACCACGCUGUGCCCUGCUCCGAGAGACCCUCCUUCACGGGUAGCUCUGACUCCCUGUGGAGGAUGCAGGAUGCCAGCAUAACUGGAUGGAAAGGGAAACAGGCCAUCUGCCCUGCACAACCACAGGACCCAGAUUGGCAACUGACUGUAAAUGCACCAAUUUCUUCAUGCAAAGCAUGGAUUGUAGAUUCAAGCAACAUUCAUAAUCCUCAGAGCACCGUUCUCCAAGAUGACUUUGAAGGCAUAAGAAGAACCUAUCCUUCCUAAAGAUGAAAUCUAAGGCCAAGAAAAUCAGGGAGACAGAAUAAGAAGUCUCCACAGCCCCAGUAAAGAAGACACACAUGUCACCUACCUCUGGCAGCCAAAGAUUUUGUGGCUCUGGACAUAUACCAUAUAAUUUUGGAACCGAGACUCCAAGAGAAAGAAACCUGUCCACGACUUCAUUAUUAGAUUCUCUUUGUCACUGAGUCUGCCAUGAGGAAGACAGAAGACAACACACACCUGUUCACUGUGGAGGCCAAAGUCAACCAGAGCUAGAUGAAACUGGCUGGGGGUGGGGGGUAGCUCUGAGACACAGAAGCAGCAGUAGGUGCCCUGAUCAGGUCUGGUGCACAGCAGGAGAUAGAACCAACCCUUUCAGCUUCUGCUAAGUUGUGGAUGUUGACAUCAAAAUUAAUAUCAUCAAAACAUUUCAACUGACUCAUUUUAAAUUUUUGUUGUUAUCUUGCAUACAUUGGGCCUGUGAGCAUGAGGGAGACAGAGAGACAGAGAGGUAGUUUAAUGACAGAGCUCCAGACCGACAUGCAUCUCACACAGGAGAUAACAGAUGUCAGCCUCGGGGCUCAAAAGUUAGGGAUUUUUAUGGAGAGAGAGAGAGAGGCAGACAGACAGAGACAGACAGACAGAGAGGAGCAGACAGACAGACAGACAGAGAG